UGCUUUCUACCAGUAGAAAUUCCGGCAGUCCGGCUGACCGUAAUCAACUGAAGUCGGUAUUGAGAAGAGGAAAGGUUUUGGGUAUUUUCAACCUUUUCCAGACGAAUUCGAGUUCACUUGCUGUCAGGUUCUUCACUUUCUUUUCUGUUUCCAGAUUAAUCGAAUUAAUUCUUACUCAAUUUUGGGGUUCAUAUUUGAAUUCCGCUUGAUUUUUCAAAUUUUUCACAAUUUUUUUUAUUCUGGGUAUUCUCUCUCUUCCUCCAUUGAAGCACGAUGAAGAAGAUUUCCUUCUCUGUUUCAUCAAAUCAAUCGAACAACAAACCUAAACAUGGCUUAAUUGAUUCUACCUCUCAAAACCCCCAAAUCAAUCGCGAAUCUAUCACUGAAUUCGACCCAUCUAAAGCCCCAACCCUAGAAAAAAACGCCCCCAAAACAUCUGUAAUCCCUCCUAAGCCGAACGAAUGGCGUCCCACCAAGAAGAUGAAGAAUCUCGACCUUCCGCCUAUUCAUUCAGAGGGUAAACCCCUUGAAUUUGAGGUUGAAUCUUCCGAUGUUGCUGCCCCUGAAUCCGAAUCAAACAUUUCGUAUGGGUUGAAUCUUCGGCAGCAAGAUUCGAUCAAUGGUAAGUUUGAUUCCGAUGUUCCGAAUUCAGUUGAUACGAUCAUGCGUAAGAAAUUGAAGUCUGAUUUAGAUAAGUUGCCUGAUGAUGAGGGUUUUGAUCAGUUUGAGGAGGUUCCGGUUGAGGGUUUUGCGGAAGCUUUGUUGGCUGGGUAUGGGUGGAGACAAGGUAUGGGAAUUGGAAAGAGUACUAAGGAGGAUGUCAAGGUUGUUGAGUAUAAGCGGCGCACCGCGAAAGAGGGGUUAGGGUUUACUGAUGAUAAUGCAGCUCCUAAGGCUAAAGGGAAGGAGGGGAGUGGUGGAAGUUUGAAUUUGGAGGUUGGGAAAGAGGUUAGGAUCAUUGGUGGUAGAAAGAUGGGGUUGAAGGGUAGAGUUAUUGAAGUGUUAUCCGGAGGCGAUUCUGUUUUUUUGAGGCUUUCGCGUAGUGAAGAGGAAGUGAAGGUUCGUGUGAAUGAAGUGGCUGAAUUGGGCUCUUUGGAGGAAGAUAAGUGUUUGAAGGAACUCAAGGAGUUGAAGAUUCAAUCUUCUAAACAAGAUUUGAGGGGCAGUGUUAAAAAGGGUAAAGAUUCGUCGAGUGAAAGAAAGGAGAGUAAGAGAGGUAGAGAGGAGGGUAGAAGAGAUGAUGUGGAUGAAGUUAAGCAUGAAAGGAUGCAGGUAGAUGAGAAAAGGACGACUAGUAAAGGAGUUUCUUGGCUUAGGAGUCAUAUUAGGGUUAAAAUUAUUAGCAAGUCAUUCAAAGGUGGGAAAUUUUACUUGAAGAAGGGUGUGGUAAUUGAUGCAGUUGGAGCCAGGACUUGUGAUAUAUCGAUGGAAGAAAGUAGGGAGAUUGUUCAGGAAGUAAAACAGGAGAUAUUGGAAACUGUCCUUCCUAGGAGAGGUGGUCCUGUUCUUGUUCUCUUUGGAAAGCACAAGGGUGUCUAUGGCAGUCUCGUGGAAAGAGAUACAGAUAGGGAAACUGCUGUAGUUCAAGAUGCUGAUACACAGGAGAUGCUCCAUGUCCAGUUUGAACAAAUAGCUGAAUAUGUUGGAGAUCCAAGCGACAUUGGUUACUAGAUAAGGAUGCGGUAUUUAAACCAGUAUGGCAAGUUCACUUGAUUCUCACAUUGAGAGAGGGGAGAGGAGACUAUCCUCAAGAUACUUUUCAUUUCAGAUGUCUGUUCUUUAUCUUAAGCUGAAGGUGUAUGUACUUAAAGGAUGUGUAUUAGAUAGUCCUUCCACUCACCCCGACAACUAUUUCUUUAUCCAAUCGAAGAAGUAUCCAUGCUUUAUUAGAUCUUCAAUUGUCAACUUUGGGUCAGAGGUGACAUUAGGCUCUGGAAUCCUGUGCAAGAUCUCAUCUUCUAAAGUCGGAAUAAGGAUAUCUACAUGAUACUUAUGGCAAAGGGACUUUCUGGUAAAUUGCUCCUGGUAGAGAAACAACCUUUUUGCUCACGAACUGGAAAUAUGUUUGUGAUAGCUUGUUAGCUACUUAGCUGUACUGAUGAUUGUAAGUCCUGAGAGUGGGAUAUGAGUCUUUAAAUGUUUUCAUCUCUGUCCUCGAUCUUUAUUCUACUCUUUUCUAUAUGUUAUCUGACUGGUAAAUAUAUCAAUUAACCAGAGCUUCAUAUCUUCUCUCUGGAUUUGAAAUACCAAGCCGACAUUUCUGGAA